rnacentral:antisense_RNA from 1 species
GUGGGAGGGGGCUUGCUCCCGAAUGCGGCGUGUCAGCUAAAUGAAUGUCGACUGAUACCCCCUCUUCGGGAGCAAGCCCCCUCCCAC